rnacentral:rRNA from 1 species
CAGUCGAACGGACUUUUCAUGAAGCCUAGCGAUUGAAAAGUUAGUGGCGGACGCGUUAGUAACGCGUGGGUAACCUGCCUUGUACUGGGGGACAACAGUUGGAAACGACUGCUAAUACCGCAUAAGCGCACAGCUUCGCAUGAAGCAGUGUGAAAAACUCCGGUGGUACAAGAUGGACCCGCGUCUGAUUAGCUGGUUGGUGAGGUAACGGCCCACCAAGGCAACGAUCAGUAGCCGGCCUGAGAGGGUGAACGGCCACAUUGGGACUGAGACACGGCCCAAACUCCUACGGGAGGCAGCAGUGGGGAAUAUUGCACAAUGGGGGAAACCCUGAUGCAGCAACGCCGCGUGAGUGAAGAAGUAUUUCGGUAUGUAAAGCUCUAUCAGCAGGAAAGAAAAUGACGGUACCUGACUAAGAAGCCCCGGCUAACUACGUGCCAGCAGCCGCGGUAAUACGUAGGGGGCAAGCGUUAUCCGGAUUUACUGGGUGUAAAGGGAGCGUAGACGGUUUUGCAAGUCUGAAGUGAAAGCCCGGGGCUUAACCCCGGGACUGCUUUGGAAACUGUAGAACUAGAGUGCAGGAGAGGUAAGUGGAAUUCCUAGUGUAGCGGUGAAAUGCGUAGAUAUUAGGAGGAACACCAGUGGCGAAGGCGGCUUACUGGACUGUAACUGACGUUGAGGCUCGAAAGCGUGGGGAGCAAACAGGAUUAGAUACCCUGGUAGUCCACGCCGUAAACGAUGAUUACUAGGUGUUGGUGGGUAUGACCCAUCGGUGCCGCAGCAAACGCAAUAAGUAAUCCACCUGGGGAGUACG